CUGUUAGAUGGGUGUGAAACUUUGGUCCUGUAACUAGUCUACUUCCAUGCAGAGCCCGCGUCAUCAUCCCAUCAGGGAGACUAGGAAAUGGAGAAGAUUUCUGUAACCUGCUCUGCUUAGCUGAUUUUGGCAUCUGACAAGCUGACCCAUCCAAAAUCUUUAGUUGCUCCUCCUCCCACCUGGAUGAUAAAUCUUCUGGAGUUUUGUACCUUGAGAAUUUCAGUCUAGGAUCUUUAAGCAUGG
rnacentral:misc_RNA from 1 species